CUUCUCUGUCUUGUUACAGCUGCAAAGAGACUAAGUGUGCUUCAAGAGAUCGAACGGGAAUUUGAAGCUGCUACAAAAGGUCUUGAACAACUAAAGGUUAGUGAUUCAACCAAGGACAAUGGCGACAAAGAACAAGCUACAAAGAGACAAAGUAUGCUAGAUGAGAUAGAACGAGAGUUCCAAGGUACA